UCUCCACCUCCAAGGUUCCAGAGCGUAAAACGACACCGCUCUCCAUCCUCCAUCACUCUUCUUCUUCUUCUUCAUUUCCUGCAAUCAGUGUUUCCAACUUUUGGAUUCGGUCCGGUCCUUGCAAUAACAUAAAGUUGAGUUAGGUCAAGCAUAUGAUUCAAAUCUUUUGGGUGUAGAAGGAAAAAUCUUUCAAGCUAGAAUGUUGGAGAUGUAAUGCCAGUACAAUAUGUUUUGUUGGUGCCCAUAUGCGAUCAAUAAAAGGAGCAUAGGUGCUUCCUAUAUCCCCAUCUUCCAGAAGAGAUUGUUGAGAUUUUUCAGGUCUCAGGUUCUGAAGCAUUGCUCCACCAACUCCAAGGGAGACUUUUCUGUUGCUUGCAACUCCUGUGGGAGUUCUCGAAGCCUUUUUUCCACUCUUUGAUGGACUGAGUUUUGAACUUUUGACUCAAAAGGUGCUUCCUGCUUAGCUAUCAGCUGUCCCUGGAUUCUCUUCUGGUCCUAAAAUACAUAACCAAUUCAAGCAUGGGUCAUAAAGAGCUGCAUAUAAGUACUACUCAUAUCUGCAUAGUGUUAUUCAAUCAGAUCGUACUCUAAUAAUAAUACGACUGGGAUUUAAGCUCA